AUUGAACGCUAGCGGGAUGCUUUACACAUGCAAGUCGAACGAGUGGCGGACGGGUGAGUAAUAUAUCGGAACGUGCCCAGUAGCGGGGGAUAACUACUCGAAAGAGUAGCUAAUACCGCAUACUCUUGGAGCGGACGCUAUCGGAUUAGAUAGUUGGUGGGGUAAAGGCUCCCCAAGGGAACGAUCCGUAGCUGGUUUGAUAGGACGACCAGCCACACGGGGACUGAGACACGGCCCAGACUCCGACGGGAGGCAGCAGUGGGGAAUUUUGGACAAUGGGGGAAACCCUGAUCCAGCCAUCCCGCGUGUAUGAGAAGGCCUGCGGGUUGUAAAGUACUUUUGGCAGAGAAGCGGUAUCUGCAGAAUAAGCACCGGCUAACUACGUGCCAGCAGCCGCGGUAAUAC
rnacentral:rRNA from 1 species